rnacentral:tRNA from 1 species
CGGGGUGUAGCGCAGCUGGUAGCGCGCCUGCUUUGGGAGCAGGAUGCCGUGGGUUCGAGUCCCGCCACUCCGACCA